rnacentral:tRNA from 1 species
GGGGAUUUAGCUCAGUGGUAGAGCACUUGCCUGAAGCGCAAGGCCCUGGGUUCGGCCCUCAGCUUCG